rnacentral:rRNA from 1 species
AUUAGAUACCCUGGUAGUCCACGCAGUAAACGAUGAAUACUAAUUGUUCGGUUCGAUUGAGAGCUGAGUGAUACAGCGAAAGCGUUAAGUAUUCCACCUGGGGAGUACGCCGGCAACGGUGAAACUCAAAGGAAUUGACGGGGGCCCGCACAAGCGGAGGAACAUGUGGUUUAAUUCGAUGAUACGCGAGGAACCUUACCCGGGCUCAAACGACACAGGAAUAAUUUUGAAAGGAGUUAGCCCUACGGGGCCUGUGUCGAGGUGCUGCAUGGUUGUCGUCAGCUCGUGCCGUGAGGUGUCGGCUUAAGUGCCAUAACGAGCGCAACCCCUGCGGGCAGUUGCUAACGGAUAAAGCCGAGGACUCUGCCCGGACUGCCGGCGCAAGCCGCGAGGAAGGCGGGGAUGACGUCAAAUCAGCACGGCCCUUACGUCCGGGGCGACACACGUGUUACAAUGGGGCGGCACAGAGGGAAGCCAUGUGGCGACACAGCGCGGAACCCGAAAACGCCUCUCAGUUCGGAUCGGAGUCUGCAACCCGACUCCGUGAAGCUGGAUUCGCUAGUAAUCGCGCAUCAGCCAUGGCGCGGUGAAUACGUUCCCGGGCCUUGUACACACCGCCCGUCAAGCCAUGGGAGCCGGGAGCGCUUGAAGUGCGUCGCCGCGAGGCGCGCCCUAGAGCGAGACCGGUGACUGGGGCUAAGUCGUAACAAGGUAGC